rnacentral:rRNA from 1 species
AUUGAACGCUGGCGGCAGGCCUAACACAUGCAAGUCGAACGGUAACAGGAAGAAGCUUGCUUCUUUGCUGACGAGUGGCGGACGGGUGAGUAAUGUCUGGGAAACUGCCUGAUGGAGGGGGAUAACUACUGGAAACGGUAGCUAAUACCGCAUAACGUCGCAAGACCAAAGAGGGGGACCUUCGGGCCUCUUGCCAUCGGAUGUGCCCAGAUGGGAUUAGCUAGUAGGUGGGGUAACGGCUCACCUAGGCGACGAUCCCUAGCUGGUCUGAGAGGAUGACCAGCCAAACUGGAACUGAGACAAGGUCCAGACUCCUAAGGGAGGCAGCAGUGGGGAAUAUUGGACAAUGGGCGCAAGCCUGAUGGAGCCAUGGCGCGUGUAUGAAGAAGGCCUUCGGGUUGUAAAGGACUUUCAGCGGGGAGGAAGGGAGUAAAGUUAAUACCUUUACUCAUUGACGUUACCCGCAGAAGAAGCACCGGCUAACUCCGUG